UUACAGGCGUGAGCCACCGUGCCUGGCCAAAAGCUAUAUUUCGAAUCACAUUUGCACACUGGCUCAAGUUAAGCCACAGGAAAGUUCAAUCUGAAAUUUAGUUACCGUUAUAAAAAUUGCCAUUUUUUUUAUAAAUGGCAUUUAUAUGCCAUUUUUUAUAUAAGAGCCAGCUAAUCAAUAUUUGAGUUACUUAAUCAACAGCAGACUUGGAGUUAUAUGGAUUUGAGAGAGUUUUUAAGAGCCCUCAAUUCAUUUCCUCAACAUUUUGGAACAUGUGUUGAUAAUGUGAUAAAACAUUUCCCUUUGCCAACAAUUGCGGAUAAUGCGAUUGCCUCAAAUAAACAUAAAAAACAGAAAAACAAAAAACCAGACAUCCUGAGUAAUAUAUUCCAGAAAUCAGAUUGUGCAUUUAGUGUUGCUAGGGAGGAUUAUGCCAUUUUGCUGCUCCAAAUCAUAAACUUUUCAUAGAGGAAGUGUUUCCCCAAGGACCAAAGAAUCCUUCCUUUUUCCCCAUUGUAAAUUUACCAUGCUUUUUGUCCUAGAUCUGUUGUUUUAGGUCAAUCAUAACCAAAAGAUGAAUCUUUAUGUAGUUAUUUCUGUAAACAAAAUUUUACUUGUUGAUGACUACAUUAGUGUUACUAAAACUUGAUUUGGCUUUGUAGAGGAGAUACAUCAUUGUGUUGUGAAUUUUAAUUUCACCUUCUAAUAGAUUUUGUGGUUUCAUUUUACCAGUUUUAAUAAUGGAACAAGUGUGGUAUUUUUAACUAUCAUACUUAAAUUUUGUGUUUAAUUUUUCUCUAAAUUAUAUUUAAUAUGUUUACUUUUCAGGAAUUACCCAACUCUGUCUUUUUGGUGAUGGAGUAUUGCAAUGGUGGAGACCUCGCAGAUUAUUUGCAAGCAAAAGGAACUCUCAGUGAAGACACCAUCAGAGUGUUUCUGCAUCAGAUUGCUGCUGCCAUGUGAAUCCUGCACAGCAAAGGAAUCAUCCACAGAGAUCUCAAACCACAGAACAUCUUGCUGUCCCAUGCUAAUCGCAGAAAAUCAAGUGUCAGUGGUAUUCGCAUCAAAAUAGCGGAUUUUGGUUUUGCUCGUUACCUACAUAGUAACAUGAUGGCUGCAACACUGUGUGGAUCCCCGAUGUACAUGGUGAGUGAGUUUUUGCAUCCUUGUGUGUUUAAAGUGUGGCUCCAUAAGCAUUGGAAUUUAAAUAUAAUGCUUGCUUCCAAAUAAGAUGUGAUCU